rnacentral:rRNA from 1 species
GACGAACGCUGGCGGCGUGCUUAACACAUGCAAGUCGAACGGAGUGGCGAACGGGUGAGUAAUACGUGGGUGAUCUGCCUUUCACUUCGGGAUAAGCUUGGGAAACUGGGUCUAAUACCCGAUAGUGCAAGAUGAGCUCGCGGCCUAUCAUCUUGUUGGUGGGGUAAUGGCCUACCAAGGCGUCGCCGGGUAGCCGGCCUUAGAGGGUGUACGGCCACAUUGGGACUGCGGUACGGCCCAGACUCCUACGGGAGGCAGCAGUCGGGAAUAUUGCACAAUCGGCGGAAGCCUGAUGCAGCGACGCCGCGUGGGGGAUGAAGGCCUUCGGGUUGUAAACUCCUUUCGACAGGGACGCGGUACCUGUAUAAGAAGCACCGGCUAACUACGUGCCAGCAGCCGCGGUAAUUC